GAUGAACGCUGGCGGCGUGCUUAACACAUGCAAGUCGAACGAAGCACUUUAUUUGAUUUCCUUCGGGACUGAUUAUUUUGUGACUGAGUGGCGGACGGGUGAGUAACGCGUGGGUAACCUGCCUUGUACAGGGGGAUAACAGUUGGAAACGGCUGCUAAUACCGCAUAAGCGCACAGCAUCGCAUGAUGCAGCGUGAAAAACUCCGGUGGUAUAAGAUGGACCCGCGUUGGAUUAGCUAGUUGGUGAGGUAACGGCCCACCAAGGCGACGAUCCAUAGCCGACCUGAGAGGGUGACCGGCCACAUUGGGACUGAGACACGGCCCAAACUCCUACGGGAGGCAGCAGUGGGGAAUAUUGCACAAUGGGCGAAAGCCUGAUGCAGCGACGCCGCGUGAGCGAAGAAGUAUUUCGGUAUGUAAAGCUCUAUCAGCAGGGAAGAUAAUGACGGUACCUGACUAAGAAGCACCGGCUAAAUACGUG
rnacentral:rRNA from 1 species